rnacentral:misc_RNA from 1 species
AAGUCGUAACAAGGUUUCCGUAGGUGAACCUGCGGAAGGAUCAUUAACACGUAUCCACGUUUAAAUCCCCCGUGCACGUUGAUAAAGCUCCGUCGGGAGUCUAGUUUCCAAUGAAAUGUUGGGGACCUGGAGGGAGUUGGCAAAAUCGUGGAGCCGAGUCGCCUUCGGGCUUGAUUUGGCACGCAACCGGACGAUUUCUUGAAACCCGAACAACUGUUAACAAUGGAUAUCUUGGUUCUC